UCACACAAAUGUCAGAUAAGGCCAAGGAUGAUUGGGAAUGUCUUACUGCUUGUCUACCGAAUCUCUGGGAUCUCCGUUUUCUUUCUUUUUAAAUCAUGACGCCAUUGAU